GAGGUUGGAGAUGGGCCGGAAGUUACUGAUGUCAUCGGGGUUGAGUCCAGGUUUUUUGAGGAUGGGGGUGACAGCAGCCAGUUUGAGUGACGGGGGAACGGUGGCGGAGUUGAGGGAGGAGUUGAUGAUCUGUGUUAUGAUGGGGGAGAUGACAGGGAGGCAGUGCUUGAUGAGGGAGGAUGGAAUGGGAUCCAGGAUACAGGUGGAUGAAGACAUGGAGCAGAUGAUAUUAGUCACGUCGGUUGAGGAGACAGGUGAGAAGCAGGAGAGUGCUGAUGGGAUGAGGGGAGGAGGGGAGGAGCAGGGAAUGGAGGGUGGGGGAAGGGAGUUAUAGAUUGC